UUCAACCCCUCACUACUUAAUCCACCCCCAGGUGCCAGCAAACAUCCCGAGCAGAGUUAGGCAAGGACUAUCCAUCACCAUGCUGGAAGUCUCAGAGUGGGCUUGGCAAUACCUGGGCCCUACAAAAAGAGCUAUGAAGGCAUUAGGACCAAAAAAAUCAUCUUAUUUGCUUAUUGAUUUCCAAUAAAAUCUAAUAAUUAGAAAAACAGUCCUGCUGACUUGUGUGUGCCGUGCGUACAAAGGAAGGAGGCAAAAUCCCUCAGGGGGUGACAGUGCUUCCACAGCAGCCCUGCAGUCCCUCAGGGCUGGCAGACAAGUGUCCCUGCAGUGGCAUUAGCCUGUGUCCCCCGGGAGAGAGCAGAGAGCAUCAGUGCCAGGAGCCUGGGGCAUCCCUGGGGCUGGGGAAGGGAUCCUGUGGGGUGGGGACUGGCACAGACGGACUGGCACAGACAGGAGUGUCACAGACAGGAUGUCANNNNNNNNNNNNNNNNNNNNNNNNNNNNNNNNNNNNNNNNNNNNNNNNNNNNNNNNNNNNNNNNNNNNNNNNNNNNNNNNNNNNNNNNNNNNNNNNNNNNNNNNNNNNNNNNNNNNNNNNNNNNNNNNNNNNCCAGGAUUGUCACAGACAGGAGUGUCACAGCCAGGAUUGUCACAGACAGGACUGGCACAGACAGGGCUGGCACAGGAUUGUUACAGACAGGAGUGUCACAGACAGGGCUGGCACAGGAUUGUUACAGACAGGACUGUCACAGACAGACUGUCACAGACAGGAUUGUCACAGACAGGAGUGGCACAGACAGGAGUGGCACAGACAGGACUGGCACCAGGCUGGCACAGACAGGGCUGGUACAGACAGGAGUGUCACAAACAGGGCUGCCACAGACAGGAGUGUCACAGGAUUGUCACACACAGGGCUGGCACAGACAGGGCUGGUACAGACAGGAGUGUCACAAACAGGGCUGCCACAGACAGGAGUGUCACAGGAUUGUCACACACAGGGCUGGCACAGACAGGAGUGUCACAGGAUUGUCACAGCAGACAGGAGUGUCACAGACAGGAGUGUCACAGACAGGAUGUCACAGACAGGGCUGGCACAGACAGGAUGUCACAGACAGGAGUGUCACAGACAGGAGUGUCACAGACAGGAUGUCACAGACAGGAUGUCACAGAUAGUGCUGGCACAGACAGGAGUGUCACAGGAGUGUCACAGACAGGGCUGGCACAGACAGGGCUGGCACAGGAUUGUCACAGACAGGAGUGUCACAGACAGGAUGUCACAGACAGGAUGUCACAGAUAGUGCUGGCACAGACAGGAGUGUCACAGGAGUGUCACAGACAGGGCUGGCACAGACAGGGCUGGCACAGGAUUGUCACUGAUAGGAUUGUCACAGACAGGAUUGUCACAAACAGGGCUGCCACAGACAGGAGUGUCACAGGAUUGUCACACACAGGGCUGGCACAGACAGGGCUGGUACAGACAGGAGUGUCACAAACAGGGCUGCCACAGACAGGAGUGUCACAGGAUUGUCACACACAGGGCUGGCACAGACAGGGCUGGCACAGACAGGAGUGUCACAGACAGGGCUGCCACAGACAGGAGUGUCACAGGAUUGUCACACACAGGGCUGGCACAGACAGGGCUGGUACAGACAGGAGACAGACAGGAUGUCACAGACAGGGCUGGCACAGACAGGAUGUCACAGACAGGAGUGUCACAGACAGGAGUGUCACAGACAGGAUGUCACAGACAGGAUGUCACAGAUAGUGCUGGCACAGACAGGAGUGUCACAGGAGUGUCACACACAGGGCUGGCACAGACAGGGCUGGCACAGGCCUGUCACAGGGCUGGCACAGACAGGAGCUGGGGAUCAGCUGUGCCCCCCGUGCGACAGACAAAGCGUUGUUCUCUCUGCAGCUCCUCAGCAGCGCCUGCUGCCCCGCGCAAAGGGCACGCUGGCAGAGCGCUUUGGCAGGAGCAGGGCCGGCAGCUCUCUGAGCUCAGCUCUGAGCCGGGCCCAGCUCCCGCCCUGCGCGGGGCAGAACACACCUGUGCCCUCUGCCGCCGCUGCUGCUGCUGCGUGCCAGGCGCAGCCAGGGCUUCGCCCACAGCUUUGCAGGGCACUCACAAAGUGACGGGGAGGCUUUUGCAAGUCGGCCUUUGAUGUUUUACCUUCGGUUCGCAGAGCUUUGGAACAUUCUCAUGCCAAACACCUGAUUGAUUGCUUUUUUUCUGCUUCCCAAGCUCCCGAUGCCUCCUCCCAGCUGCUCUGUUGCACCUCCUCUCUUGUUGCAUUUGCUCCUCUUCAUCUAGAAAUAAAAGAAGCAUUAACCGCUGCGGUGCACUGCCCCUGCCAGGGAUUUUGGGGAUCUCCCAGAGCUGGCACCCCAGCACAGGGCUUGGUGUUGGCCCAGCCAGGGUAGGGCAGGGCACCAGCCUGGGCCCCCAGAGCCCCCCUGCCCCGUCUGAUGGGACAGGGAGAGAAACCAGCACGGUGAGAGAGCAGACAGAGGGCUCCAGCCUGGGCCUGGGCUGCAAUCUGGGCACUCCCACGGUGGCUGCCCAUGGCAGCACAAGGCACUUGUCACUCAGCUCGUGUCACACUCAGCCCCUGCCGCCUGUCCUGGCCUCUUCAGCCCUCCUUGGUGUUCGUCAGAGGAGUCCCAGCCAGGGAAGGAAUUCUGGAGAGGCUCUGCCCGGUGGCCAGGCACGCUCUGGGGCAGGAGCAGAGCCAGUGCCACAGCUCUGCAGCCCAGGGCAGGGAGUUCACUGCCACAGCUCCAUCCUGCCAAGUGCCCCAUUAGCAUUCUGCACCAGCCUGCCUUCCAUAAGCCGCUCUGACUCCCGAAGAUAAAAAAGUAAUAACACUGCCCUCCAUUAUUUAUGAGCUGCCUUUUUGUCUCCCGGCAGAAAUCCUUCCUGCUCCCUGCGCUGAGCUGCUCCCAGAUGUGAUGUUGGUGUUCCACCAGCACCCAGGGCUCCAGCGGGCUCCGGGAAAUCCAUCUCCUGGCCCAGGAGUCGUACUGCAGAGAUGGCAGGCACUGGUUCACUCCUGCCCUGCUUUCCUGGGUGGCCUCACAGCCCUGGGACAAUUCCCUGCACCUGGCAGGACAAAAGGUGGCAAUCAGGGGCUGCCUGGGUGGGGUCCCCACAAGGGCACUUGCCUUUUGCCCCCAUUUCAGCACUAUUAAAUCGCUGAAUUUGAAAUUAUUUUGCCUCCAAACUCUAAAAUUAACACUUCAAACCAAGCAAUUUCAGGAAAUGUAUACAAACCACCACACACGAGCUCACUGUUCAGGCUGGGCUGCAGGGGUUUCUCUGCUCUCUGGGGUCCUGUGGGUGUUUUUUUGGUAGCUAGGGGUCCCUGGUGUCUUGGCCAAGCUUUUCUGGGGGAUUUUCUCCCCCUUGGAGCUGCCAGUGCCUCCCUCCCUGCGCUCUGCCCAGAUCAGGGACUCGAGCACUGCUGUCC
rnacentral:lncRNA from 1 species